CUAGGCUAAUUAACCUACUUAGAUGUAUGGUUAAAACUAUUAAAAGAUGGAAUGUAAUAAAAUGUUUAACAAAGCAAACAAGGGAACAAACUUGAGGGACCAAAGAUGAACAAGGGGGAAAGUUAUGUCUUAAGUAACAAACACACCCACACAAGCACACACACAUUUCGUGUGUUCUAGAACGAUCAGGGGGAACUCCCCAUGAACCAAACCCUAGUUCUAACACAAUCAUCAAAUUGAGGAGUCAAAUGAAGCUCAAAUUCACAACCAAACAUGAAUUAAGGAUCACCUACUCAAGGGGAUCAUGAGGAAUCAUGUCGAGACGGAAUCAAGCACGGAUGGAUAAUGGGUCAAGAAGUGGCGAGGAAACGAAUAUGAACACGGAUGCAUGAGGUAGGUAGAACGUACGUAUGCGUUUAGAUGAAUAUGGGCUCACGAGAGGAUCCAUACACGAAGGUAUGCACGUAUGUAGGUUUGUGUGAAGGCAGGUAAUAAGUAUGUAUGUAUGUAUGUAUAUAUGUAUGCAUGUAUGUAGGUAUGUAUGUAUGUAUGUAUGUAUGAAUGUAGGUAUGUAUGUAUGUAGGUAGGAAUGGAUGUAAUUAGGUAUGCACGUACGUAGGUACGUACGUAUGUAUGCAGGUACGUAUGUAGGACAGUUGCUAUUUGUGACCGUAAAGGUAUGUAUCAGUUUGUAUGAAAGGUAUGUACGCAUGCAUCUAAUGAAAUUGAGUACUAACGGUAAUGGUUGCGUGCUUGGUGAAUGAAGUGUAACGCAGGAAUACCAAAGAAGUCUCACUACGGAUCAUAUGAUCAGGAUGGGAACGCUGGGAUGUAAAGAGUUAACGAAACGAGAAGUAAACGUGAACAAACCUUGUAUGUUUAUAACGCGUACUAAUGAUGUGUAAUUUUAUGUGGUGAGCGCAGGUAGUACCAGUCAUGAGGAUAUCCAAGGAUUGGAGACCGAAGAUCGAGUCACUAGAGAGAUUGUACGGAAACGUUGAUGUACAUAAUGUAGUAAACAUAAGCUAUGUCUUUAACUAAUAAAUAAGAGGAUGACGGAUUUAUGAGAAAGAACUGUGUUAAAGUUAAAUCUUAAAUAAGUUGAGGUAUUUAUAGUGAAAGAAAUUUUAUGGUA